rnacentral:misc_RNA from 1 species
GAUGAAGAACGUAGCGAAAUGCGAUACGUAAUGUGAAUUGCAGAAUUCAGUGAAUCAUCGAGUCUUUGAACGCACAUUGCGCCCCCUGGUAUUCCGGGGGGCAUGCCUGUCCGAGCGUCAUUGCUGCCCUCAAGCACGGCUUGUGUGUUGGGCCACCGUCCUCCUCCCGGGGGACGGGCCCGAAAGGCAGCGGCGGCACCGCGUCCGGUCCUCGAGCGUAUGGGGCUUCGUCACCCGCUCUUGUAGGCCCGGCCGGCGCUUGCCGACACAUCAAUCUUUUUUCCAGGUUGACCUCGGAUCAGGUAGGGAUACCCGCUGAACUUAAGCAUAUCAAUAAGCGGAGGA